CUACCUUUGUUUAUCCUAGUAAGUGUUAGUUUGGAAGUACUGCACAUACUUCUAUUGGCUUUUAAAUUAAGCAUGGUGCUUAGGUUAAACAGCCUUCCUUAAUCUGAUUAGACAUGGAGUCUAGUUUGGUUAUUGAACUAAAAACUGCUUGAGUAGAUAUUGGUAUAUUUUGUCGGACUAACCCCUGCAGGAAAACUUUCAAUAUCAACCUGGGAAGUUCUGAGAUAAACUCACAUUGGAGACAAGGAGAGGGACACAUGAAGUUUAACAAUUUACACAAGGAAGACGUAGCUCAUAAGAGAUGAUCCAUAGAGGGUGCCACAAACACGAUACACAACCACUACGAAUGGGAAGCUUCCACAAGGUAAGAUGGUACCAUCCCUCUUCAAUUAAGGUAACAUCUUAAGAUAUCUGACUAUCACUUUUAUAAGCUUCUCCUUGGUUCUCGUGUUCACAUUAAUAAAGAGAUAAACAUGUAUGAUUUAUAACUCCAAAUUAACCAACCCAACUGAUUAGCAUGUUUAGUCCUUUAAUCUUUGUUCCUAGUACUACCUCCAUGAUCCCACACUCCUAAUCAUAUGAGCUAAAAUGUUACACAUUCAAUCUUUGAGAUAUAUAAAAAAAAUACAUAUACAUAGAUAGAUUAUCUUUCCAUAAGGUUGAGCGAUCUGAUCUGACAAAUGUUAUAAGUACUACACUCAUGAACUUAUCAUCCAUCAACUUUGUCUUGCUCACUAUGCUUAAGGUUAGAGAAGAACAAAUACACUUUUGGUUCUGUUGGUGUUUUCCACCAACAGGACCCAUGCACUUGAUCUCUGCCUUGUCUCUAUGAGCAGGUACACUUCGAGCAAAACAUGGAGGAGUUUUAUAACUCUCAGACUCUACCAAGUGAAGGACCUGGAUCUACGAGCACAAACACACUGAGCAGGAUACUGCUAACGCCGCACUUCGAACUACUGGGCAAACGAAGAACAUGGGUGACACCGUAUUAAAUGACGCACCUGAAGAAUGAACACGGUGAGAAGUCUUGUUCAGAAGACUUAAAACAUUGAACCCUCGCCGAAAGGUAAAAUCGGUAGUUAUCCAUAUUUAUCCUUUCUGCAUUCCCUUUUCCCUUUAAUUACUUACUUUCCUUAAAUAGCUUAUUAGUUAAUCAUGCUAUCUUGAAAAGAAAAUAAAAAUGUUAAAAAUACUAAGCCCCAUAUGAGUAUGCUCGUGGCAUGAAACCCAUAAGUACAUCACUGUGGUGGCGUAAAAAUAAAAUAAAUAUAUUCCUGUCCUAUAGAAAUGAAAAUAUAAAAAUAAAUUUAUGGUCCUACCAAAGAGAGUAAUAUUUAUUAGAGGAAGCUCAACAUGAUAAAGGUGAAGAAAUUUUAUGCUAACACUUAACCAGUUCCACAAAGCUUUGUUGUCUAUUUGAGCUCCACAGAAUCCAAGGAUCAAAGAAGACUAGCAGACGGAGGACAUUCUAAUCGCUGUCAGGGUGAUGCCGACAUUCCAAUACACCUCCGCCACCUGCUAGCUACAUCAGAUGAAAUUAUGUAAAAAUCCAGCUUGGGGGAGAGCACCCCCAUUUAUCUAGCUAAGUGUUUCUACGCAUGUUUAUACUUUACUCAAAUAAUAAAUAGAUGCAUAAUCAUAAAAACCCAAAUAAAGAUUUUAUGCUUAUAUAUAUAUCUUUGCUUAGUUUGCUAAAUAAAUAAAUAAAUAAAGUUUGCUUUGAACCCUCAUGAUAAACUCUCACAUGGAAAUGAUGAAUAGUUGCUCUGCCAUGACUAGUUCUCAAAAGUGAAAUCUCUCUCAAGUUUAGGUAUGACUAUUAUGAAUUAAGAUUUGCUCUAAACCUAAACUUGUGGGAACAGUGCGUUGAUCUAAAGUCUAAGUCGUUAACGGAUAUGAUAUGGAAAGGUUGAGCUGCUGUUUAUCUGUUCCUAGAGAUGCCAGAACUCUGGAGAAUUUUAUCUUAAAAAAAAUCUUUAAAAUAUUGCAUGAUGAGUUCCUGUAUGAUGAGAGUUUAAAAUCCUACCACAGCCAUAUAUACAUGCUUAUUAGACUAUGAACCAUACAUUUACUUUUUACUACUUAUGAGCAUUGAGUGUGGUCAAGUUGUGUAGACCCUUAGGAGCUUGUCAUGUGGUUAAAAUCAAGAUCCACUUGCACGUUCACUCAUACAUGCUGCUUCUACUCUAGAAGUACGCAUCCACAUACAUCCAUUCAUUUGUAUCUCCAGAUUCACCCAAAAUUAUUCUACUCCUAUCCUGGAGAGAAUAGCCAAAAACAUUAUUCUAUCCCUGUUAUUCCCCAUGAAAUAAAUGCUCUUGAUAUUUUGGUUACUACCACUUGCUACAUUAUUCUAGGAGGGUGAGUGCUCUGAAAAAAAAGAGUGAAUAUGAGGAAAUAAUAAGAGGCAAGUGCCCGAAACCUCAAAGAAAAGAAAAAGAGACGAGAGGUAAAAAUGGACAAGUGUCCGACAGUAGAAUUAGGGGUACAAGAUACCCACCUGAGAGAUAAGAAAAAAAAGAAAAUAUAGAGCAUCUCAUUCCCUUCAAAAAGCUUCAAAGUGCAAGAAAGGUAUGUAUCCCCUCAAAAGAGCAAAAGUAGAAUUAGACUUUCACCAAUGUUUUCACCAUUAUCACCAUCAUCACCAUACACCAUUCAUUCGCCACACAUGCACAUCAUGAUUUGACUUAUUGACUUGUUUCUCUGGAUCCAUGGUUUGACUAUGCAAUAAAUGUCUUGUAUGUAUGUAUUAGCUGUCUCCCACCAAUGAGCUCCAGAUAUCAAACCUUAUUAGAGUAGGGUGAGAGAGAAGGCAAUAUCACUAUGCCUCAUACCACAAAUACUACAUACUUUGAGAGAAGGCGUAUAUCAUCAUUGCCUUGGUAAGGAUCCAGAAAUACCAUAAAAGAGAGAUUUGAAAGAGUUAUACAAGGAAUCUCUGAGUUUGAUUUUGAAAAUCUACAAAAACUCUAGAGGUAUAGUUGA
rnacentral:lncRNA from 1 species